rnacentral:rRNA from 1 species
AUGAACGCUGGCGGCGUGCCUAACACAUGCAAGUCGAGCGAAGCACUUGGAAGUUUUCGGACAGAAGGGUGACUGAGCGGCGGACGGGUGAGUAACGCGUGGGUAAUCUGCCUCAUACAGGGGAAUAACAGCUAGAAAUGGCUGCUAAUGCCGCAUAAGCGCACAGGACCGCAUAGUCUGGUGUGAAAAACUCCGGUGGUAUGAGAUGAACCCGCGUCUGAUUAGUUAGUUGGCAGGGUAACGGCCUACCAAGACGACGAUCAGUAGCCGGCCUGAGAGGGUGGACGGCCACAUUGGGACUGAGACACGGCCCAGACUCCUACGGGAGGCAGCAGUGGGGAAUAUUGCACAAUGGGGGAAACCCUGAUGCAGCAACGCCGCGUGAGUGAAGAAGUAUUUCGGUAUGUAAAGCUCUAUCAGCAGGGAAGAAAAUGACGGUACCUGAGUAAGAAGCCCCGGCUAACUACGUGCCAGCAGCCGCGGUAAUACGUAGGGGGCAAGCGUUAUCCGGAUUUACUGGGUGUAAAGGGAGCGUAGACGGCGAGGCAAGUCUGAUGUGAAAGCCUGGGGCUUAACCCCGGAACUGCAUUGGAAACUGCUUUGCUGGAGUGCCGGAGAGGUAAGCGGAAUUCCUAGUGUAGCGGUGAAAUGCGUAGAUAUUAGGAGGAACACCAGUGGCGAAGGCGGCUUACUGGACGGUAACUGACGUUGAGGCUCGAAAGCGUGGGGAGCAAACAGGAUUAGAUACCCUGGUAGUCCACGCGGUAAACGAUGAAUGCUAGGUGUUGGGGAGCAGAGCUCUUCGGUGCCGCCGCAAACGCAUUAAGCAUUCCACCUGGGGAGUACGUUCGCAAGAAUGAAACUCAAAGGAAUUGACGGGGGCCCGCACAAGCAGUGGAGUAUGUGGUUUAAUUCGAAGCAACGCGAAGAACCUUACCAGGGCUUGACAUAUAGAUGAAUAUAUAAGAGAUUAUAUAGCUUUUCGGAGCAUCUAUACAGGUGGUGCAUGGUUGUCGUCAGCUCGUGUCGUGAGAUGUUGGGUUAAGUCCCGCAACGAGCGCAACCCUUAUCUUCAGUAGCCAGCGGUUCGGCCGGGCACUCUGGAGAGACUGCCAGGGACAACCUGGAGGAAGGUGGGGAUGACGUCAAAUCAUCAUGCCCCUUAUGACUUGGGCUACACACGUGCUACAAUGGCGUAAACAAAGGGAAGCAGCCCUGUGAAGGUGAGCAAAUCCCAAAAAUAACGUCUCAGUUCGGAUUGUAGUCUGCAACUCGACUACAUGAAGCUGGAAUCGCUAGUAAUCGCGAAUCAGCAUGUCGCGGUGAAUACGUUCCCGGGUCUUGUACACACCGCCCGUCACACCAUGGGAGUCGAUAACGCCCGAAGUCAGUGACCUAACCGAAAGGGAGGAGCUGCCGAAGGCGGGAUUGGUAACUGGGGUG